AAGCCGUUAAAACAUACAAAAAUAGAUUUUAGUUUACGUUUUCCAGAAAAAGUUUACCAACUCCUACAAUGACUGCAUUGGUUUCAUGACAUUUUAGACUUGAUGUAAAAUUUUUGCAUAUGGUUCAAAAUUCAUCAUUUGUUCAAACAAUCUAAGAUAGAAGCCAGGUUGAAAAUGGUGACACGAAACAUCAAAUAACGGGAUCAAAGCUUCCUUCUAAUGGACAAGUUUUAGCAGUGCUAUUU